UCCUGAGAAAUGGCCGGAGGCUAGAGGAGUGAGACUCCUUUCCAAGGACCCCCCUCCCAGGCAGGAAGGGCACAAGGCAUAGCUCCUGCAGGGCAGCAGCCCCCGCGGGGUGGAGGCCCAUGCAGCACCACCCCGUGCCCGCCCCGCCUGGAGC